rnacentral:rRNA from 1 species
GAUGAACGCUGGCGGCGUGCCUAAUACAUGCAAGUCGAACGCUGAGGGCGGAGCUUGCUCUUCUGGAUGAGUUGCGAACGGGUGAGUAACGCGUAGGUAACCUGCCUGGUAGCGGGGGAUAACUAUUGGAAACGAUAGCUAAUACCGCAUGACAACAGUUAUUGCAUGAUAACUGUUUAAAAGGUGCAACUGCUCCGCUACCACAUGGACCUGCGGUGUAUUAGCUAGUUGGUGAGGUAACGGCUCACCAAGGCGACGAUACAUAGCCGACCUGAGAGGGUGAGCAGCCAGACUGGGAGGGAGACACGGCCCAGAGGCAUAGGGGAGGCAGCAGGAGGGAUACGGCAGCAAGGAGCGGAAGACUGAGCGAGCUGCGCGGCAUGAGUGAGGAGGAUUGUCGGGUCGUAAAUGACGGUUGUAAGAGAAUAACGAGCGUGAGAGUGGAAAGUUCAGACAGUGACGGUAAUGGACAAGGAAGGGACGGCUAACUACGUG